UAUAAACAUGUUUUCAGAUAAUGGCUGUAUCAAGUUUUCAGUUUCAAAAGUUUUUAGUUCCAGGUACAUUGUAGUAAUACAGAUAUGCCUUUUAGGGGCUUGUUGAGGUAUACCAAAAGAGAAACAUGAUUAACCCUUAAUAAUAUGGAGCAACAUUUAAUUGCACAAAGAAAAAGUUCUGUAGCAAAGCAACUACCUGCUUUUCCCCCUUUCAUUUACUUCUAAAAAUGGCAAUUCUCCCUCUAGUCCCUGACUUUUAAUUAGAGGGAAAAGAGACAACCUAGCAGCUGUUAUAGCUUAUAAAGACUCUGCGUCAAUGCAGAUUAAACCAGAGACAAGAGAGCUCAAUUCCUAUGUUUUAAAAUAGCAAUUAUACAGUUGCUUUAUCCCAUUCUUCCUACUAACACAUACCUCUUUCCCCAGCAUCUACUGCAGGAGUUCAACCAGACGCUGAACAGAACAGCAGUUGUCUAACCUGUGAUACUGUUAUCAGAUGAAGACCCCUAGGAAGUCUACAGAUUAGAAUGGAAGGAAGAAUCUGGAUUACAGCUUGGAUCAGAGAAGAAGAGUCUUGGUUUUUAUGUAAUUAAGAGGCAAGAAGUAUGGCAAGCAUGGCAAGGAACUCUUAUUUCCAGUUUAAAGAAGGGGCGGGAGUCUCCCUACUGAGCUCCACUUUUCUUUGGAGGCAAGAGGAGUGGCAUUUGUAACUCUGGGUAAGAGUUGAAAUUACUCACAUAGAAGAAGGAGAUGGGACCGGCAUGGAAACUAAUCAUAAUCCCGAAGAUGAAAGUCAGCUGGGACAGCAUGAUAUGAAGUGCCACAGCAGCCAGAACGUUGAUCAGCAGAGCACUCACCAGGAAGAAGGAACCUAUGGAAGAAGAUGUUAGGUAGAAGGUGAAGUUUCAAGUCCAGUGCUGAACUCACCAAUGGACAUUUGAUGACACGAUCCAAAAAUUACAUAGAUUACCGAAGAACAGAAAGCUGCAUAAGCGAUGUUGAGAGGAGGAAUCAGUUGCCUUGCCAGCAAACUAAGUGUCAGGCCUGAAAAACAAGAUAAUUUAAGAAAAAGCAGCUUGUCUUUAAGUCACCUUAAAUAAAAACUGUAAAGAAUAUUUAAAAUAAAAAUCAUCCAUGUGUAUAGCUGACUGAGUGUGGUAAUAGUAU